GUUGGUGUGUGAGAGCUUUUAAGAUCAAAGGAUGUUGAGGGGAUCCCAGACUGGUUUAUUUCAAAGUCAGAUUCUGUUUUAAAACCAUUUAAACAUGUUUUUCAAAUGAAAGAAUAUUGGAUAAAACACCCAA